AUGUCUUUCAAAGAAGCGGACAGAGCAAACGAACUGGAGAUAGUCUUAGGACACAAUGGAGUUGAAGAUCCAUCGCAACAACAGUUGCAAGAGAUCAUCACUGCUGACAGUCAUAGUCUGCAGAAGUCAAUUGAUGAGCUGGUGAAGACGAUGAAAGAAGCCAAUCGCAGUCGCAGUAUGUCCACCCAAAAGGAGCAGAAGGAUUUUCGUAACUGGUUAUUGCUUCUCUCAUCAUUGGCUGCCACCAUCACCUUCACCGCGGGCCUCAGCCCACCUGGUGGUUUCUGGUCUGAAGACGACAUGGCAAACACAUACAUCGCUGGUACCUCAGUUAUGCGCAACAAAUUUCCCACAAGGUACCUGCUGUUUCAGUGCAGCAACACGAUUGCCUUCUUCGCAUCAUUGGCGGUCAUUGGAUUGCUUGCCAAAAACAUCAAAAUCAAGAAUCGUUUUUUCUUAACACUCGUAGCGAUUUCUUUUUUGAGCUUGUGCGGUAGCUACAUCACCGGCACAUGGGUUGACCUCACUCUAGGGAUUUACACCAUUUCUGGGUUUGUAGCUGUCAUUUGCUACAUGUCGAUAAUUUGGGUUAUAGCUCGGGUUUGUGAUAUCUAUACUGGUAAGAAAGGAGAUAUCCUCACACCAACCUGCAUGACUGCUGCCUGCAAACUUAAUCAUGUCUAG
rnacentral:rRNA from 1 species